UGGGGAAUUUUGGACAAUGGGCGAAAGCCUGAUCCAGCAAUGCCGCGUGUGUGAAGAAGGCCUUCGGGUUGUAAAGCACUUUUGUCCGGAAAGAAAUGGCUCUGGUUAAUACCUGGGGUCGAUGACGGUACCGGAAGAAUAAGGACCGGCUAACUACGUGCCAGCAGCCGCGGUAAUACGUAGGGUCCAAGCGAUAAUCGGAAUUACUGGGCGUAAAGGGUGCGCAGGCGGUUGUGCAAGACCGAUGUGAAAUCCCCGAGCUUAACUUGGCAAUUGCAAUGGCGACUGCACGGCUAGAGUGUGUCAGAGGGGGGUAGAAUUCCACGUGUAGCAGUGAAAUGCGUAGAGAUGUGUAGGAAUACCGAUGGCGAAGGCAUCCCCCUGGAAUAACACUAACGCUCAUGCACGAAAGCGUGGGGAGCAAACAGG
rnacentral:rRNA from 1 species